rnacentral:rRNA from 1 species
UACGAAGGGGGCUAGCGUUGCUCGGAAUCACUGGGCGUAAAGCGCACGUAGGCGGCUUCUUAAGUCAGGGGUGAAAUCCUGGAGCUCAACUCCAGAACUGCCUUUGAUACUGGGAGGCUCGAGUCCGGGAGAGGUGAGUGGAACUGCGAGUGUAGAGGUGAAAUUCGUAGAUAUUCGCAAGAACACCAGUGGCGAAGGCGGCUCACUGGCCCGGUACUGACGCUGAGGCGCGAAAGCUAGGGGAGCAAACAGG